rnacentral:rRNA from 1 species
CCUACGGGUGGUAGCAGUGAGGCAUAUUGGUCAAUGGGCGCGAGCCUGAACCAGCCAAGUAGCGUGAAGGAUGACUGCCCUACGGGUUGUAAACUUCUUUUAUAAAGGAAUAAAGUGAGGCACGCGUGCCUUUUUGUAUGUACUUUAUGAAUAAGGAUCGGCUAACUCCGUGCCAGCAUCCGCGGUAAUCCGGAGGAUCCGAGCGUUAUCCGGAUGUGUUGGGUUUAAAGGGGACGUAGAUGGGUUGUUAAGUCAGUUGUGAAAGUUUGCGGCUCAAACGUAAAAUUGCAAUUGAUACUGGCAGUCGUGAGUACAGUUGAGGUAGGCGGAAUUCGUGGUGUAGCGGUGAAAUGCUUAGAUAUCACGAAGAACUCCGAUUGCGAAGGCAGCAUACUAAACUGCCACUGACAUUGAUGCUCGAAAGUGUGGGUAUCAAACAGGAUUAGAUACCCGGGUAGUC